rnacentral:ribozyme from 1 species
CCCCAGCGAUGUGCAGGCACCACUCCGUGUGGUGCUGGGGAUUAGUAUUCGAGAAUCCAAGAGUAUUCGAUGAAGCAAAGACCUGC